rnacentral:tRNA from 11 species
GGGGCUGUAGCUCAGUUGGGAGAGCGCUUGAAUGGCAUUCAAGAGGCCGUGGGUUCAAUUCCCUCCAGCUCCACCA